UAGAAGCUCUUCUUAAGCUUUAAACAUUUGCCCAAAAAUUCUUAACACAAAACUCAAACCCAAAUAUAUUUAGCUAAAGCAACAUAAAACCACAUUAAACCCGAAUUCAAGCAUUCACAAACAAUUUUUAAAUUUAUAAUCCCAAAUCAAUUUAAAAUAUAAAAUUUAUAUUUUGACAAAGUUAUUUAGUUAUGGAUCCUUUUGUUGUUGGUGUUUUUUUUAGUGGGUCAUUUUGUAGUUCUUGACAUUUUUUUAUAUAUCAAGCGCAAGGCCGAGCUCUGGUUCGACACCGCCCUCACUCACGCCCCUUCUCCUUUCAUGCCUAGAAUCAAGACCGGUAGAUCUUUCACCAUGGAAAGCUUAUGCGAUUUUAGUGUAGCAGAUCAGAUGCAGAAGGAGUUCAUCGUCCGAUUUGAAAAUUAAUGGUACUUCGGAAACUAUGUCUGAAACCGUGCUUAGUCCAGUUGAGUUAAAGGAAGAAGUAAUUUCUUCAGAGGCCAAAGAAGAAAAUGUCAUAGUGAAUUCUGCUGAUAAAGGUUCAAAGGAGGAUGGCAAAGGGGAAAGCAAGAGUACUGAGAAACAUGACAGAGCAUCAGCUACGAUAGUUUCUUCUUCUUCUGAUGUGAAAAAUGAAGCGAAUAGUGAUAAAGAGAAUAGCAAACCUUCUGUUCAAGCAGAAAAAGAAGCUUGCACUCCUGUGCCACCGAAUCCUGGGACCAACUCCAAGAAGCACCAGACAGCUAAAAUGAUUGCUAGUUUAGUUAGAAACCCAUCAGCCUUGAAGCCAAAAAGUCAGAUAAAGUCGUCACAAUCCAAAACCCCCAAACCAUCUUUGUUUGAAAAGUGAAACAAAUGUGAAAAGCACUGCUGGGGCUCUCACUUUGGCCCAGGAGAAUCAGGCAAUUAAGCGACAGAAGUUGGAAGGAGGACAAUCUAGACAGAUUCUUAGCCUCAAACCGCAUAAUCUGCCCCACAAGACAAAUCGGGUCGUGUAAGUGGCAGUUCCAACUUCUGCCCAUCAACUGUGAAUAGAGCCAAAAAAGAUGAAAGAAAGAUUUAUGUUCGAGAAGGAGCAGCACCAGCACAAGCUCCUCCAUUUGUUUCAGCUGCUGAAAUGAUGAAGAAGUUCCAAUCAAGUACCAGAGACCCCUGUCGUGCCUCACACUGGUUCUCAGAUGAAGCCUAGACUCACAUUGACAAGGCCCAAGGAACCUGAGUUUGAAACAGCUCAACGAGCAUGCUCUGUUAAGAUUAAAAGCACUGCUGAGCUUGAAGAAGAGAUGAUAGCCAAAAUUCCCAAGUUUAAAGCACGUCCAUUGAACAAGAAGAACCGCUUCCCUCUUCACUUCAGAUUUCGACAACCCAACCCACCAACCAAGCUUCCAAGCUUGACGAAAAUGGCGCCUAUCAACUUUCUUAGAGCAACACGUCAUUUUUCAAAGUGAAAAAGCUCUCUGAAAACGCUGUUACUCCAUCAAGAUUCAAGAGGCUCUCCUCUCUUUGCGGGUUACGAUCUCUCGAGGUAAAAACCCAUAUUUUCUUUUGCUAUUUUCUCUCAAGUACUUGAUUUAUUUCGGUAAUAUAUUUUCUGGGUUUCUAAAUAUAUUUAUUUUGGUAUACGCCAUUGUAUUCUAUGACUUAUUUUUGUUUAAGGAUGAUUCCUAUAAAAUGUUUGAUGAAGUGCUUGUUUGAACAAUUAUCACUAGAAGUUUUAGGAACCCUUUCAAUUCUUUGUGAUAAUGGAGUUAGGUUGACUUCAAUAUCAGAGUAAUGUUUAGAGAUAAGCAUGAUUAUUUGUUAUACUUUUGAAGGGUCCACCGUCCAUGGUCUUAGAACUUUCUUCUGCACUUCUUUAAUUCAAUUCAUGAUAUCUCUAUUUUAUUGAUGUUUUAUAAUAUUUUUAACAUAUUAAAUAAUUGAAAAAUGUCCAUGUAGAAAGAAAAGCAUAAAGGAAAAUUCAUUAUAGACUAAAGAGUGUCGUAUUAGCAUUCAUAUUUUUUUCAUAUAUAGCAUUCGUAUGUUUUAUGAUCGAUGGUAAACAAAUUUAAUAUGUGAUCUAUUUAAAUAAGGAUGUUAAAGAUUACAUCGAAAGCUUAUAUAAAAUUAAUACUAAUAGAGAAGUUAGACAAGAAAAGGAAAUACAAAAGAAAAAGAUCGAAAGAAAAUGUCACCAUUGGAUUUCUGUCUUUACUAAACAUUCAAGCUACAAAGUAAUAUCAAAAGUGGCACUUAUAAGUACCACGAUCUUCACCACAGGACCUUUAUAUAAUGUAAGAGCAUUGUAGAAGGUAUAAAUCAUUUAAUGCUGUUAAAAUCCGUAUAACAUUAUGUUUAUUGCUGCUGUUUCUUAAGGCUCGGAAGAUUUUGUUUUUAUAAUUGGUGAGCCUAUCUGGUUAUCAAGAAAUUAACCACAUAAUGAGGUAAGACUAACUCUUUUGUAAACAAUUGAUCCAUUUACUUUUGGUAUUAAGAUAGAUCAAAGGUAUCAUUUUUGGGCUAUCUUGAUUCUAAAUAUCCCAACAUCAAUUUUGUUUUGUUAAUUAUUUUUUGGGAAGAUUAUAUUAAUAUUUUAUGUCUUGUUUUGUGGUUUGGACCCUUGUCAAAGUUUUUUUUGAAUUGUGCAUUGUAUAGAGUGACGAAGAUUUGGUCUUCAUAAUUCUAUUAUAACUAUUUUGCUUCACAAUAUUAGAAUGCUUUUUGAGUUAAUAUCCAAUUAAGACUCAUUUGAUUGUUUGUAUUUGUUUGAUUUGUGUUUUUACUAAAGUUUAUUUCUUUUAUGUUGCUUGACUAUAUGUAUGGGUUUGCUGUCAAUUUUUUAUAUGAAUUAUUUUUUUUCAGUAAUGCAAGGCUAUAUCAUUUCAAAUAAACAAAUAAUAAUAAUAAAGCAAAACCAUUUUUUAAUGAAUUUUCAUUGUGAAAGGAAAUAACUCAAAUGAUUAUAUGAAAUUAAUUUAAAAUUGUAUAAAGCAGUAAAGGAAAUAGACAAUAUGUGUUAAUCUAAUAACAUAAAACACUACGUCAGUAAAGCAACCUCAAUGAGUCGUGGAUUACGUCAAGUAUAUGGCAAUGCAAAUAAGUCUUCCUUACGAGGACUUUGAGAAAUCUUAACCAAUGAUUUCAUGUUGUUAUAUCAUUGUUAUUUGCAUAUUUUAAUUUGAAUUUGCAAUAGAAUAUGUAAAAUCAUUUAUUGACAUAUUUGCUAAAAUUGACAAAAUUAAUUAUGAAAUGUAUUUUCGAAAUAUAUUGUGUGGUAUUUUCGAAAUGGGUAGUUUCUUGUUUUGUGGUGAAAUAUUUUCUAAAUUAGAUUAUCCUAUAUAUGUUAAUAAAAUAAAUAUAUAAUUUUCUAUAAAAGAAUAUAUUUUCUUGAAUUUUGUAUAUAUGGAAAUUAUUGGUAUUUAUUUUAAUUUCUUGAUCUGAUUUGUUUGUCUAGGAACCGUGAACAGCUUACAAAGAUAAUGUAUAUAUUGUUUCCUUAUUUAUUUAAGGAAACUAAGUUUAAAAGACUGUCCAGGUUCAAUAAAUUUGUUUGAACGGAUUGCUAAUCUAUUUAAAUAGAUUCUGACUUUCCUUUUGGGGAAGAUUUUCCAUUUAUUGGCUUAUUGGUUUUUGACUUGUUUUCCAUGACCUAAAGGGAUUCUAAAAUGUAUAUAGUCAUCCUUAGGUCAUUGGUUUUUGCUCAUCUCUCUUGGGUAUUAUUUUCCAAAUAUUUUCAAGUUUUAGAGAGACUUUUUUAUUAUGUGAAGAACUUGAGUUCAGCAAGUUCUUAGUGGUUUAUUACAGUAUAAUUCUGUAUUGUUUUCUUUGUGCUAAUUGUGCAGGUUGAACACACUUGGACAUUGUUCUUCAAGCUUCGGGAGAAAUCUUGCUCGUGAGUCACUUUUCGGGAGGAAAAGUGCAAGUGUUAUGAUUUGAAGGGAGUUCAAGAUCUUAACACUUCAUAAAUUUGAUUAGGAGUUUAGAUUACAAUAGUUGCGACAAAUUCAAGAGGGAGUUUUUAUUUGUAUAAGUCAAUUUGGUUUUGUAAUCGUUUAGAUAUUCUUCUAAUAAAUUUCAUUCUCUGGACAUGGCCCCGUGGACUAGUAGCAAUCUACAAAGAUUGUUGAUACCACGUAUAAUUUCGUGUGUUCUUUACUUUAUGUUCAUUUUUAUCUUUUGGUGAUAAACUGUUUAAACA